UUUAAUUCUCCUUUCAUUUCGCUGCCAGAACUCUGGAAGCUUGAUAACGGCAGCAAAAACAAAAGUAACGGCCGCCUGGCAAGAAACUGGGUCCGAAACCACACAGCUGGCGGCAGCAUCUGGUUUUAGGCCCAGAAAGUCCAAUUUGAUAUCAACGGACCAUAACACAAAAGAUCUUACCCAGCUCAGGAUUUCUCUGCAAGACGAGGAUCCUGUUUUGCGAUUCUUCCUUCAACCCCAGCCAGAGGUAAAGCCCCACCAGGCCGAGCAGCGUGGGCACCAGGGCAAAACACACCAGGGGGAAAACGUCGUUGAUGAUCUUCUGCCACUGCGCCUGCGGUGAGAGAGAAAUCACCUCCACCUCGAACUCAAGCGUAGCAUCACCUGCGACAGAUGCGGUAUUUUGCUGUCAUCCACCAACAAUGACUGUCCUCUUCCCCAACACGAGAACGAGAGGAUCCUUGGACAGCGAGGAGUCGAUCAACUGCCCAUCCAUCAGCUUUCCCUGAGCAACCAGAGAAACAGGAACAGGAGUAAGAAAGAGAAAAACCAAGAUUUCAGAGUUGAUGGCUGUUGUUUUUUCUCGCACCAGAUCAGAGUUGAGACUGUAGCUGGACCACUUCAAAAUGAUAACAGAACCUACAGUCAAGAAAAACAUGUUAAUAAAAUAAAAAAGGACUACUUUAAACCUA